AAUAUUAGACAAUGAGCGAAAGCGUGAUCCAACCACGCCGCGUGUGUGAUGAAGGCCCUCGGGUCGUAAAGCACUGUGGGGAGGGAAGAACUCAAUGACGGUACCUCGUUAGCAAGCACCGGCUAACUCCGUGCCAGCAGCCGCGGUAAUACGGAGGGUGCAAACGUUGCUCGGAAUCAUUGGGCGUAAAGCGCACGUAGGCGGCGAGGCGUGUCGGAUGUGAAAGCCCUCGGCUUAACCGAGGAAGUGCAUCCGAAACUGUCUGGCUUGAGUACGGGAGAGGGUAGGGGAAUUCCCGGUGUAGAGGUGAAAUUCGUAGAUAUCGGGAGGAACACCAGUGGCGAAGGCGCCUACCUGGACCGAUACUGACGCUGAGGUGCGAAAGCAUGGGGAGCAAACAGGAUUAGAUACCCUGGUAGUCCAUGCCGUA
rnacentral:rRNA from 1 species